AGCAGCCGCGGUAAUUCCAGCUCCAAUAGCGUAUAUUAAAGUUGUUGCAGUUAAAAAGACUCGUAGUUGAAUUUCGGGAUUGACGUGAUGGUCGUGCCUUAAGGGGUAUGAACUGUCGCAGUUGAUUUCUCACCUUCUGGAGAAGCUUGAUGUCCUUAAUUGGGUGUCAUGUGGAACCAGGACCUUUACCUUGAAAAAAAUUAGAGUGUUUAAAGCAGGCAUUUUGCUCGAAUACAUUAGCAUGGAAUAAUAGAAUAGGACGGCAUGGUUCUAUUUUGUUGGUUUCUAGGAUCACCGUAAUGAUUAAUAGGGAUAGUUGGGGGCAUUAGUAUUCAAUUGUCAGAGGUGAAAAUUCUUGGAUUUAUUGAAGACUAACUACUGCGAAAGCAUUUGCCAAGGAUGUCUUCAUUAAUCAAGAACGAAAGUUAGGGGAUCGAAGACGAUCAGAUACCGUCGUAGUCUUAACCAUAAACUAUGCCGACUAGGAAUCAGACGAUGUUAAUUUUUAAUGACUCGUUU
rnacentral:rRNA from 1 species